rnacentral:tRNA from 1 species
AGCAUAGCUCAGUUGGUAGAGCUACUGACUUGUAAUCAGUAGGUCGGGGGUUCGAGUCCCUCUGCUG